rnacentral:rRNA from 1 species
UAGCGGAGGAAAAGAAACCAACUGGGAUUACCUUAGUAACGGCGAGUGAAGCGGUAAAAGCUCAAAUUUGAAAUCUGGUACUUUCAGUGCCCGAGUUGUAAUUUGUAGAAUUUGUCUUUGAUUAGGUCCUUGUCUAUGUUCCUUGGAACAGGACGUCAUAGAGGGUGAGAAUCCCGUUUGGCGAGGAUACCUUUUCUCUGUAAGACUUUUUCGAAGAGUCGAGUUGUUUGGGAAUGCAGCUCAAAGUGGGUGGUAAAUUCCAUCUAAAGCUAAAUAUUGGCGAGAGACCGAUAGCGAACAAGUACAGUGAUGGAAAGAUGAAAAGAACUUUGAAAAGAGAGUGAAAAAGUACGUGAAAUUGUUGAAAGGGAAGGGCAUUUGAUCAGACAUGGUGUUUUUUGCAUGCACUCGCCUCUCGUGGGCUUGGGCCUCUCAAAAAUUUCACUGGGCCAACAUCAAUUCUGGCAGUAGGAUAAAUCAUUAAGAAUGUAGCUACCUCGGUAGUGUUAUAGCUUAUUGGAAUACUGCUAGCUGGGAUUGAGGACUGCGCUUCGGCAAGGAUGUUGGCAUAAUGGUUAAAUGCCGCCCGUCUUGAA